AACGAACGCUGGCGGCAGGCCUAACACAUGCAAGUCGAGCGAGGACUUCGGUUCUAGCGGCGGACGGGUGAGUAACGCGUGGGAAUGUGCCCUUCUCUACGGAAUAUCCCUGGGAAACUGGGAGUAAUACCGUAUACGCCCUAUUGGGGAAAGAUUUAUCGGAGAAGGAUCAGCCCGCGUUGGAUUAGGUAGUUGGUGGGGUAAUGGCCUACCAAGCCUACGAUCCAUAGCUGGUUUGAGAGGAUGAUCAGCCACACUGGGACUGAGACACGGACCAGACUCGUACGGGAGGCAGCAGUGGGGAAUCUUAGACAAUGGGGGCAACCCUGAUAUAGCCAUGCCGCGUGAGUGAUGAAGGCCUUAGGGUUGUAAAGCUCUAUCAGCUGGGAAGAUAAUGACGGUACCAGAAGAAGAAGCCCCGGCUAACUCCGUG
rnacentral:rRNA from 1 species